AAUUUUUUUAUUUUAACUUCUAAUUAUUUUAGCCAAACUAAUAUCUUAAAUGAAAAUUUAUUUAGUUACUCCUACACUAUUUUUUCUAUUAAAAUUCAUAUUUAACAAAUAAAAAGAUGAAAAAUAUAAAAUUAGUGGGGCUAUAAUACUUUUUAUAUAGUAGCAACCGCUUGUUACUAUCAACUUUUUUAUCCUAAACUUUUUUUUUUUUUGGAAAUUGAGCUUCUGUGCUUGUAAAAGUAUCAAGUCAUUGGUGCUGGUAGGUUUUCGGCCCUUUAAUAAAGAGAUUUGUGGUUAGAUGAUAGUAGCCCUUUAGGUUGAGUGGAUGAUUAAUUGAUUAAUAUAAUCUAACGGAUGAAAAUAGUCUAAAUGAGUAGAUCUAAUAGUGAAAAACCUAAAAGCACCAUUGCUGGACUUUUUUACUUUAUAUAUGGAAUUAAAAAUUAAUUUUUAGGCUUUGGAGUUGUUAUUAUUAUUUUAUAGAUCCAAAGACUAGAGAGUUGAUAGUAAAAAAAAGUUUUCUAUUAUCAGUAGUAUUUUAGUGCAAGUGAU
rnacentral:lncRNA from 1 species